UUAAACAACAACCAAAUAGAAUAAUCAACAAGUUUUGGGUCUGUUCUUCAUAUCAAAUGGCAUAUCAUCAACUUUAAAAACUCGCCAAUUAAUUAUAAUUACGAGUCUCUCGACAACAACGAGGCUUGUGGCUGCAAUUUAUGAGUUUUAGUUUCAGCUUUCGGUUCUCAUAUGUAGUUUCAGUUUUAGUUUUAGCUUUAGUCGUUGUCAUAGUAGCAGCUGCUAAACUGUGUAAUUUGUAAUACGUAAUACGUGUAAUGUGUAAUUUGUAAUGCUAAAUGCUUCAUUUCCUGCUCCUGCUACUUGAAAUGCAAACAAAUGUCUCCAGUGCGUGGGAGGCGGGGGGCGCGUGGGUCGCGGUUCAUGCGACCCCAACACGCACACACCACACACCACACACAUCGCCAACAGGAGGCCACAAAAUGCUUAGACUUGCUUUUAAAUACCCUAGCAGCAAAUAAAAUAUAUAAAAAAAAAAAAAAAAAAAACUCGAAUACAUUUCUACACUACACGAAAGCAAAUAGAGUUUAUUGUGACAAAUGUUUCAUGACAGCAAACCAUUUUGUUGCUGUCCACAUGUGUCAUAUGUUUGAGAAUGCUGACUGUCUCUGUGUGUGUGUGUGCUGGGGCCAAACGCACACGACUUGACUUGACCAGGUGAGUGUAUAUCAUGUCACUGCAUGUCGUGUGUCCGAGUGUGUGUAAAGGGUAUAAAUUAAAAAGAAACUAUUGUAAUUAUCAGAAAGCCUUAGAGACGCUUGCUCUGCGCUCUGCCGUUUGACAGAAGAUAAAGUGGCAAAACUGUCAAGGGUGUUGUUAGCUGAAAACAAGACGGUUUCAAAAUAUAUAUGAGCCCUUAGCUAAGUAUAGCAUCAGUUUUUAGCAAGCUAAAUUUACUAAACUGAAAUUGUGGCUUUUAUAUAUAAAAUACCUGUUUCAGUCAAUAAACAUUCAGUUCUAAAUAUAAUUUGAAAUCCGAAAAUACUUUACCUGCUGGGCACAUCACACGUAAAUGUGUUUGCUUUAAGUUUUACAGUGCGUAUACGUAAUACGAGCUCUCAACUGUUUUGCGGACUCUGAUUAGUAUCUCCGUUAGUGUGAGUGAGCGCGCGUGUGUGUGAAGAUUAACAGGCGGAUUGCUGUUACACACAAAAGCCACUCGAGUGCUACUUUAAUGACCUCCCAUCGCAGGCUAAUGUGUGAGUGUGUGUGUGUUGCCACGCUAAAAAUUUGAUACUUUGCCCAAAUUCAGCUGGAUUAUGAUUUUAAUGGAAAUAAAAUUAUUUACAUUUUUAGAUAAAAUCUAAAGUGCCUAGAAUUGAAGCCUUUACCAGUUGAGUCGAAUAUAAUACGCACAGCAGUUAAGCCAGAUCGGUGGCGAUAUUGUUUUUACACCAGUUCUGUAUUGGCUGGGGUGUAAGGGUGGGCAUGCCCCCAUUCGAUGCGGACACCGCCCGUUGUUUACACCUCUUGGCAGGUAACAAAGAAACUGAAUCAACGCCGUCGCGUCGUCUGCUAAUACCUGCAUAAUUGUUGUGCUAAUUUCGCCAGCACGCCCAGUUAAUGUUUCUAUUGACACCCGACUGCGGCCCCGGCCCCCUGCCCUGGCCACGGGUGCUGUUUGCCGAGACCGGUCAUUUAGGUAGUUACAGUAAACUACUGCUACAGUGUGCACUGCUUUGACAUUGUUUACGCUUACUUAUGGGCUUGGCUGCCUUUGCCGUGGACGGGCGAGCGACAGACGGCGUGGUCUGCAUGGUGAUUAAACUAAUUUAAUGCAGCUACAAGCCGCAACAGCAAGCUAGGCAAGGCAAGGCGGGGCAGUUGGGGGCGAAAGAAAAAGCAUUUAAAACAUUCAAAGUGUCGCAUGAGAAGGACGCUCAAGUCGCAGCCAAGCGACAGCCGUUAACGAGCUGACUUCGAUAGACGUUAGCGUUGCCCUGCCCCUGCCCGUGUCCCUGACCCUAGCUCGUUUUCACUUGCUGCAGACGAAUGUGUGGCACAGUAGCAACUGCCAAGUGGCGAAAAAAAAUAAGAGAACAGCAACAACAACAAAAAUAGAACGAAACAAAGUUUAGCAAUAAAAAUCUAAAUAAAAGCCCGAGUACUGCCAGCGACACGGCGCGGCUGCUAAUAAAGUCAUUGCUGCAUGCUGCCAGAAUGGUGUCCCUCCCUCCAACCACCCUCACCCACACCCGCACCCUCAUUCUCACUCUCACUCUGACCCUGCCAAUGGGCACGCUAAGGGGCGUCGUCUGUGAGUUCAUUAGCAGCAGCUAACCUUACAAAGCCUUAGCCCGUCUCAGCUGCCGUUCCUGUUGUUGUUGCUGCUGUUGUUGUUGUUGUUGUUCCCCUAGUUUUUCGCACAGUUGCCACAGCCGCUGUUAAUUAUAGCUGAAACUCGAGGUGAGCGCGCCGCGAGGCGUCUCCACGGCAAGCGGAUGAGGUGGGUAGGGGCUAGCGUGCACCGUCCCUUACUGGAAAUUUAUAAAAGUUACACGUAGAUUGACAGGCAAUUUGUUAUUGUAUUAUAUUGAGGCGGUUAUUUGGCUGCCGCAACUAGCUCUAUUGACUGAGUGUAAAUGCUAGCGAGUGGCUGCACGUGUGUGUGUGUGUGUGUGUGUGUGUGUGUGUGUGCGCGUGUGUGUGUGGGGGCUUUAUACGUGUGUGGUCUGCGGUUUAGCUGUGUGGCUUUUGCAGCAGUGAGAGCAAUAACAACCACUAUUACUACAGCAAGCGGCAACAACAACAACUGCAGCAGCAACAACAACAACAACAACAGCAACUACAACAACAACAGGUCCUGUUCGUAUUCAUUAGUGGGCAAUUAACCAAAAGCGAAUUCUAUCCAAAAAGGCAAUUAUUGUAAAUGCGUCGAAUUAGACUUGACUCUUCAACACUAGCCUGACAGUUGGGCACAUAUACACACACACAUACAUGCAUGUAUAUAUAUGUAUAUGUAUUGACCGCUAUUAGCAGUAACCCAAUGCAGGUGCUGCGCAACAACAACAACAACAACACACAUUAUGGAACUUGACCAAUUGGUGGUUAUUGAAUCUAAUUGCUAUCGCACAAGUUCAUAAUUCACACGAGCCCUAGCACUAGAUUGGCUUUUAGGGCUCGACUAUGUAAUACCCUGUGACAUUUUAUCACGAUAACUCCAGAGAGACGCGUGUUUUCGCAAAGUGAGCAGAGUCACGCAACUUCGGGAGCCUUCGUAUCGCAACGCGGCCGUAAUCCACGCUGAACUGCAACCGGAAAUAGCUGCAAGUCCGACAACACAAUUUUCCAUUAAAAUCAAAACGUUGUUCUUAAAAUCCGAAACGAGUUGCAUUUGAAUACUGUCUGAUAAGAUCAGCAAGGCAUGCCCAGGAAUGGCAUGAGCUCGGAAUGUUUUCAUAAUUUGUUAACGAAUUCCAACUAAUUAUAGUUAUAGAACUUAAUUAAUGCAAAAUUAAGUCAUCUAUGUAGGGUAGCAUUUGGCUGGGCAAGGCUGACCAGCGUCAUCUUACAUUUGUGUAUUGUGUAUUUCUUAUUAGUUUAGGCAAAAUAAUUGAUUGAUUACGGGCGGAGAGUUAGGUCAACCGUUAUGUCAGCACAAAAAGAUUUCAUGCCACAGCGAUUCGUCGAGUAUUUGUACUUCAUUUUGUGUAUUUCGUUUUCAGUUUCAGUUUCGUAUUCGUUUUCGUUCUCAGUCCUGUUCUGGUUUUUCGUGUACAAUUUGUAGUGAACAAAGGAACUGGGACAAAUAAAAUAUUUGCUGGGGCAUCGCGUCGCAAGUUAUAUAUAUUUAUGAAUGUAGUCGCAGUCGUUCGGCUAUCCCGCAGCUGGCAAUAAAUAAUGAAAGUCUCAAAAUGUGUGCCCCACUGAAACAACAGGGCCAGCAGGGGCAGCAGGGGCAGCGCAGGUGCGGGCUGGGGGCCAUGGGAUACUCGAGCAAAAGUAAAGAAAAGAGUUGGCCCCCGAAGUAAACAGCACAGAACUUUGGCAUGUUGCAAGUGGAGUGUGGAAUGUGGCAAGUAGAAAGUAGCUGGCGCCAACAUUCCGGCUCGUGCGCACAUAUUUGUGAAUAAACAUAUGAAAAACUA